AUUGAACGCUGGCGGCAGGCUUAACACAUGCAAGUCGAGCGGCGCGAGGGUGCUUGCACCUUAGCUUAGCGGCGGACGGGUGAGUAAUGCUUAGGAAUCUGCCUAUUAGUGGGGGACAACAUUGCGAGAGGAAUGCUAAUAACGCAUACGCCCGACGGGGGAAAUGAGGGGAUCUUCGGAACUUGCGAUAAUAGACGAUCGUAGGUCGGGUUAGCUAGUUGGUGGGGUGAAGGCCUACCAAGGCGACGAUCUGUAGCGGGUCUGAGAGGAUGAUCCGCCACACUGGGACUGAGACACGGCCCAGACUCCUACGGGAGGCAGCAGUGGGGAAUAUUGGACAAUGGGCGGAAGCCUGAUCCAGCCAUGCCGCGUGUGUGAAGAAGGCCUUUUGGUUGUAAAGCACUUUAAGCGAGGAGGAGGCUACUUAGAUUAAUACUCUGGGAUAGUGGACGUUACUCGCAGAAUAAGCACCGGCUAACUCUGUGCCAGCCGCCGCCGUAA
rnacentral:rRNA from 1 species